UACAGAGGUCCCAAGCGUUGUUCGGAUUCACUGGGCGUAAAGGGUGCGUAGGCGGUUGGGUAAGUCUGUCGUGAAAUCUCCGAGCCCAACUCGGAAACUGCGUCGGAUACUAUUCAACUCGAGGAAUGGAGGGGAGACUGGAAUUCUCGGUGUAGCAGUGAAAUGCGUAGAUAUCGGGAGGAACACCAGUGGCGAAGGCGGCUUUCUGGCCUGUUCUUGACGCUGAGGCGCGAAAGCUAGGGGAGCGAACGGG
rnacentral:rRNA from 1 species